AAUCUUCCACAUAUGGGCGAAAGCCUGAUGGAGCAACGCCGCGUGAGUGAAGAAGGAUUUCGGUUCGUAAAACUCUGUUGUAAGGGAAGAACAAGUACAGUAGUAACUGGCUGUACCUUGACGGUACCUUAUUAGAAAGCCACGGCUAACUACGUGCCAGCAGCCGCGGUAAUACGUAGGUGGCAAGCGUUGUCCGGAAUUAUUGGGCGUAAAGCGCGCGCAGGUGGUUUCUUAAGUCUGAUGUGAAAGCCCACGGCUCAACCGUGGAGGGUCAUUGGAAACUGGGAGACUUGAGUGCAGAAGAGGAUAGUGGAAUUCCAAGUGUAGCGGUGAAAUGCGUAGAGAUUUGGAGGAACACCAGUGGCGAAGGCGACUAUCUGGUCUGUAACUGACACUGAGGCGCGAAAGCGUGGGGAGCAAACAGGAUUAGAUACCCUGGUAGUCCACGCCGUAAACGAUGAGUGCUAAGUGUUAGGGGGUUUCCGCCCCUUAGUGCUGCAGCUAACGCAUUAAGCACUCCGCCUGGGGAGUACGGUCGCAA
rnacentral:rRNA from 1 species